GAAAAAGGCGGAGUCCCGGCUCAUGAAGUCCGAGGUGAUCCCUGCAUACAGCUCUCCAUCUGCACAGAAUAACAACAAAUAUCCAGACCCUGCCAGGACCCAAGUUUGUAACUCAGGCCUUGUGUCCAGCCCAAGACGACUCUAAGGACAUCACUUUUAGUUUUUUAUUGUUGUACCACCUUUGCCACUUUCACGGUGACCCCAAGUAUUUGUUCAAUAAUAAUACCUGUUGGAAGACGCUGGUAGCUAUGAAAGCACAUCGAGGGUUGAAGGCUCCAG